rnacentral:lncRNA from 1 species
UUAUGAAUACAUCUGUGCUUUCUUGCUUCAGACUUUACAACUGCAGGCCAACCCAGUCUGGAAGCACUUUUUAUUAAUGUUACAAGGAAACCGCUACCUCAGCAAACAAAAGAAAAGAGAAGACACACAGUAACAAAUGCCAUGUUUAAAGAACACUUGUUCCCAGAAACCUUGCAGGAGAUUUGGAAGUUUUUAGCACUGAGAAGAAGCUUUCCAGGUAAAUGGAUUUGACAGGCAGGCUCUGUCAGAAUUCUGCAGAGGUGUGUUCUUCCUUAAGGACUUCCCGUGAAGUAACCCCUUCCGCCUAAAUGCUGUUGACCAGCUGGGGUCCUUUUUGGUAUAUAAAAGAUACAUUAUAUUACAUUUUAAAAGUUAAGUUAUUUUUCUGCCAUUGUAAAUGUAAGUAUCAAAAUAUUCUUGCAAAGCAAUUAUAAAUAAACAUUUUCCUCAGCAAGCAUAUCUUCAUCGAGGGUAGGAUGCUGAACAGUUACAGAGCAUUUUGGACACUGUUAUUUUUUGUUAGAGUUCCUACCCACACUGAAAAUAUUAAUUAUAUAAAUCUGUUAUUUUUCUCACCUUUAUGUUGGAUCACAUGGUCACCUGCCUCAUGGAAAUAACUUUUUUAAAACUUAGAUUUGCAGAACUCCACUAUUUUUAUACCUAGCCACAGUUUUGGAAAAAAGGACUCAGAGCGCUGACCUGCCAGUGGUCCCUGGGACAGUUUCCCACCCGCAUGUAUUGCUGCAGUGCCCAGGACAGUAAGAUGGACUACAAGCGGCGCUUCCUGCUUGGCGGGUCCAAGCAGAAGGUGCAGCAGCACCAGCAGUACCCGAUGCCUGAGCUAGGCCGAGCACUGAGUGCGCCUUUGGCGUCCACGGCCCCCUCUGCUCCGCUGGGCAGUCUGACCACUGCAGGCAGCUGCCACCAUGCCAUGCCCC